AACUAAACAUUAUCACCUGAGGGAAAGGGAAGAUUCUAAAUAAAUAAGAUACGUUAGGUACAGAAUCCAGAAGGAAUCUUGCGCGAUCUCUCCUGCACGAGAAGUCGGCAUUUGGAAAUCACAGGAGGUGGGUGGGGAUCAAAGCCGCUCCCUGUCCACCCACCGGCCCAGAAACUGCCCGAGCACCGGCCCAGCACCGCCGCGUCAGGUGGGCAUGUGUCUUUCCCCAACACAGCGGGCGCUCCGAGGCAUCAAGCUAUGGUGGCGGGCUCCUGGUGCGUCGCCGGGCAGCCAAGGGAGCGCCGUCUGCCACCUCCACCCAGCCCAGCCCUAGAGCCUGCCGCCCGGCCGCGAAGGAUGCCCGGGUCACCUGAGCCACCGCGUCCUGAGAGCGGACAGAGCGUGUGCCAGUGGGCUCCCGGGCCGGCGCGCUGGGGAUCCUGGUGCCGGAGCGAUCGGCGGGAGACUGCGCCCCGGCAGCCCGGCGGGCCAGCCUCCAGCCCUCCGCAGCCCGCCGAGGUCAAAGAGCAAGCAAGCUCUGCUUCAGGAAUCCAAGGACUCCCUGAGGUGGACGCUGCAGGGAUCUCUGCCCGUGCAGCCCGUCCAUUUCACAGCACAGAAAACUGAGGCUCCGACGUGUUUAAAGGGCUGUUUCUUCGAGCUUGAGGACCUAGAUUCAACUCUCCCGAAAAGCCGUUACCGUAGGCAAGUUACUUAAAUCUCCGAGCUCAGUGUCUCCACCUGUAAAACGACGCUAAUAGUGUCCACUUCCUGUGCUUGAUGGGAGGACAAAAUGAAUGAGGCGCAGGAGCCCGACCCAAAAUCGCAUCUGACUCUUUGUGGCCGCAUGGACCUUAGCCCACCUUAGUCUACUCUGUCCAUGGGACUUCCCAGGCAAGAAGACUGGAAUGGGUUGCCAUUCCCUUUCUCAAGGGGUCUUCCUGUGUUGGCAGGCGGUUGCUUUACCACUGAGCCACCUAGGAAGCCAGCUAAUGCAUAGGCUCACGUGCGGCUUGAGAGUUCCCUGACCCAGCUCAGCUGUCUUCUGAGGACACCUGGGAUAAGAAAAUUUACAUGGAGACUGGGAACGAGAGAGUAGCUGCUGGUUUUUCGCUCGACUAGAUGUGAGGUAUGACCCAAAAAACUGGUGAGAAAUUCCCUGUGGUCUGGCCACAGACCUUGUGACCUACCCUUUCUUGACCCAUAGGAUCAGCACACGGCCUACUGAUGUAAAUAACAUUGAGCUUCAUUUUCCAGUUAAUUUCUUCAAAAUCUUUCAAAUUAUUGCUCCAACUUUUAUGUCAUUUUCCCCCUGAAAUAUGCAUUUGAGUUUAGCAUUUUGUAUCUCCAAGUCAAAUUUAAAUAAAAUUACA